rnacentral:rRNA from 1 species
AACGAACGCUGGCGGCAUGCCUAACACAUGCAAGUCGAACGAACCCUUCGGGGUUAGUGGCGCACGGGUGCGUAACGCGUGGGAAUCUGCCCUUUGCUUCGGAAUAACAGUUAGAAAUGACUGCUAAUACCGGAUGAUGUCUUCGGACCAAAGAUUUAUCGGCAAAGGAUGAGCCCGCGUAGGAUUAGGUAGUUGGUGGGGUAAAGGCCUACCAAGCCGACGAUCCUUAGCUGGUCUGAGAGGAUGAUCAGCCACACUGGGACUGGGACACGGCCCAGACUCCUACGGGAGGCAGCAGUGGGGAAUAUUGGACAAUGGGCGCAAGCCUGAUCCAGCAAUGCCGCGUGAGUGAUGAAGGCCUUCGGGUCGUAAAGCUCUUUACCAGGGAUGAUAAUGA